rnacentral:rRNA from 2 species
UGGGCGUAAGCGCACGCAGGCGGUCUGUCAAGUCGGAUGUGAAAUCCCCGGGCUCAACCUGGGAACUGCAUUCGAAACUGGCAGGCUAGAGUCUUGUAGAGGGGGGUAGAAUUCCAGGUGUAGCGGUGAAAUGCGUAGAGAUCUGGAGGAAUACCGGUGGCGAAGGCGGCCCCCUGGACAAAGACUGACGCUCAGGUGCGAAAGCGUGGGGAGCAAACAGGAUUAGAUACCCUGGUAGUCCACGCCGUAAACGAUGUCGACUUGGAGGUUGUGCCCUUGAGGCGUGGCUUCCGGAGCUAACGCGUUAAGUCGACCGCCUGGGGAGUACGGCCGCAAGGUUAAAACUCAAAUGAAUUGACGGGGGCCCGCACAAGCGGUGGAGCAUGUGGUUUAAUUCGAUGCAACGCGAAGAACCUUACCUACUCUUGACAUCCAGAGAACUUUCCAGAGAUGCAUUGGUGCCUUCGGGAACUCUGAGACAGGUGCUGCAUGGCUGUCGUCAGCUCGUGUUGUGAAAUGUUGGGUUAAGUCCCGCAACGAGCGCAACCCUUAUCCUUUGUUGCCAGCGGUUAGGCCGGGAACUCAAAGGAGACUGCCAGUGAUAAACUGGAGGAAGGUGGGGAUGA